rnacentral:lncRNA from 1 species
ACUUAAAUUCCAGCAUAGUAAGGGCUUACUAAAUAUUGUUGAAUGAAUGAAUCUUUCUUUGACAGAUAUUUACUAAACCCUAUUCCAGUAUUGAGCUAAGUCACGUAUGAAUCCUAUGUUUCCAAAAUUAAUGAUUAAUGUUCUUGAGAGAUUGCUCUGCCUUUCACCAAAACAUAAGUGAAACAGUUUUAUGGAUUUGCUAGAACACAUGGCCUACAUAUGCCAUCCAGUUAUAUUUGCAUUAUUUCCAUAUAAGAGAUUUAUUGUCUCAUACUAGCAAUUAGGAGAGGAAAAAUGGUGUUGGGCUUUUGAAGAUGUGGUUGUAGAAAGAACCAUUGGUUCCUCACGGGAAAAAUUUAGUUUAGAAUUUAUUCAUUUCUUUUCAUUACCGAGAUGCUCUGUAGCUACCUAAAUGUUGGUUAAACUUAUUUUCCUCCAUUUUAGAGUUAGACCUGGAAUCAAAUCCUGUUCUGUGUCUGGGGAGAUGAAUUUAAUGCUUCUCUAAUUGCAUGUCAUUGUUUCCAGAAUUACCUUGAAAUUGUUUGCAAACACAUCCCAACUGCCCAGGAGGAGGAAGAAAGUUGAUUUCUACUGGAUGCCUUUAUGUUAUGAUCCAGAAGAGAAGAGAGGAAACAUUCAGGACAAGCAGCACAGUCAGAGAGGUUCAAGUUCACAUGAGUGACAGCAGCAAAAUGUCUUGGACAUCCAGGAAGCAAUAUAAGGACACCAGGGCCUCCAAGGAGUUCAAAGUGCAUGCAGGAGUCAGGGUGAGGCCCAACAGCAACUUUGGCCAAACUCAGCAUUUGGCCCAAAGUAGAGAUUUCUCCCAAGCACUGAUAGGUUUUCUUAUCCAUGAAGACUUGGUUCCCAGCUACUCUCUAUGGCUCCAGGCAUUCCCUGAAUUGGCACCAGCCAGUGCCCCAAUAUCCCCUCGGCUCUUCACUUUCCAAAUGACUCAGCAAAUCAUUAUUCAUGUUGUCUGAGUUGACUUAUGAAACCCUAAUAUGACAGAUGAGAACUAGUUUUCUUGGGGUUUUUAUUCCUGUAGGCAGUUUUCCG